GAGGUGGCAGUGAUGAGUUGCACUAAUAGACAGGUUUGUGUGCAGUGGCACAGCAGACCUGUCCUGACCCAAACGUGGUGACACUUACUGUGCACAGGGGCCAUCUGAGCCACC
ensembl:snoRNA